GAAGAAUCAGCUGAACGCAGAACAUCCAAAAUACCCAAAUGCAAGGAAUCUGGGGUGGACAGCAGACCAGUAAGAAAAAAGAAAAUACUCCGUGGAGGAAGGGAAAACUCAGAAAUCAUCUGUUCUUCUUGCCCAAAAUUCUUAAGUAAUGCCUGAAACUUGUGUCAAAGUUAUCAACACUCAGGAUGGAGACAGUGUUACUCACCGUGGUCUUAUCGGCCAGCAGCUUCUCAAUGACCUCAAUUAACUGGUCUUUCUGGUCUGAAUCAAGGCUGCAAGGAACAGACAAAGCCAUUGGGUGCAUAGACUUUUUCUUAAAGGCUGAGUCAACACACUGUGUCCCGACCAUAAUGUGAAUUAUUUCAUGUUGGGCUGAGCUUUGGCCCGUGAGCUGAAGACAAAGAGAUGCAUUUAAACACGAUUCACUGUUUGAAAUUCACAGGCCAACUUCAUCCCUUCAUUCACACGGAAACACGCCUGUCUGUAUAUA